GUGGGGAAUCUUGCGCAAUGGGCGAAAGCCUGACGCAGCGACGCCGCGUGAGUGAUGAAGGCCUUCGGGUUGUAAAGCUCUGUGGGGAGAGAAGAAUAAGUGCGGGCUAAUACUCCGCAUGAUGACGGUAUCUCCUUAGCAAGCACCGGCUAACUCUGUGCCAGCAGCCGCGGUAAGACAGAGGGUGCAAACGUUGUUCGGAAUUACUGGGCGUAAAGCGAGUGUAGGCGGUUUGGUAAGUCGGAUGUGAAAGCCCCGGGCUCAACCCGGGAAGUGCACUCGAUACUGCCAAGCUAGAGUAUCGGAGAGGUUGGUGGAAUUCUCGGUGUAGAGGUGAAAUUCGUAGAUAUCGAGAGGAACACCGGUGGCGAAGGCGGCCAACUGGACGAAUACUGACGCUGAGACUCGAAAGCGUGGGGAGCAAACAGGAUUAGAAACCCCGGUAGUCC
rnacentral:rRNA from 1 species